rnacentral:rRNA from 1 species
GACGAACCGUGCGAACGUUAUUCGGAAUCACUGGGCUUAAAGCGCGUGUAGGCGGGAUGGCACGUCCGUAGCUGAAAUCCCCCGGCUCAACCGGGGAACUGGCGUGGAUACGACCAUCCUUGAGGGACAUAGGGGGACCUGGAACUUCCGGUGGAGCGGUGAAAUGCGUUGAGAUCGGAAGGAACGCCCGUGGCGAAAGCGAGGUCCUGGAUGUUUUCUGACGCUGAGACGCGAAAGCCAGGGUAGCGAACGGG